rnacentral:lncRNA from 1 species
GUGUCUUAGGGCUAUUUUUGGUCCCUUUUUGGUUUUUUUUGUAUGAAAGCUGAUUUUUCUAGUCUUGCAAUACCAACAAAAAAGGAAUGUAAAUGGCACUUGCAGUGCUGUCACAUUGACCCUCAUUGUUUAUAUGUGCUGUAUUUUUAGAGGCAAUGAACUGAUGUCAUCAGUCUGUUGCUUUUUGAAGUUGUUUGAUGUUUUGUGGUUUACAGUGAUGAGACCUGCAAAUAAUGAUGUGUGCCCUGUAGUCAUAGUAACACUGAAAAUUUUCCAGGUAUACCCUCUAAGUUUCUUUGUUACUGAACUACAGACAUAUUUAAAAACUACCAAAAAAAAGCCUUUCUGUGGAAAAACACAUACCAAAGAAACAUGUGUGUGAAAUUCUGGGACUUGCUGUAAGUGUAGAUGAAUUCUUCUGGAAUCACUUGGACCAUACAUUAUCAUAUAUAGCUGUCAUACAAAAAUGAUAGAGCUGUUCUUCACAAAAUUCUUUUUUUAUGACGAAUGACAAGCAAAGUUUUUUUCUAGAUUGUGGAGAUUAUUUGGGAUAAAGAAAUGGAAAGGCAUGAGGGAAGCUCCAUGUUCUGGAGGGAAUGCUUUAGGCACCCCAUGCAGCUUCUGAACUGCACCCAUAGUCUCCUCUCCCACAGAAACCUUCCAAAGCUGGAAGGGACAGGGAAGAAAAUUCCAAGAGUGGUGUGGGAAGUGCUUUCUCAUAGGUCUGGACAGUGCUGAGGUUGGAACGAGUUAUAAAUAUUCCUUGUGCCUCUCAUGUUGCCAGCCCAGGACUAAGUCUCCCUGAGCAGCUGCAGUUCCCUGCCUGUGGAGGGAGCAAGCCUGUGCUGGAGAGUGGGAGAAAGGUCCCUGCUGGUUGCUGUGUCCUCGGUGGGCAGAGAACUCUGACCUUGGUUGGGCUGGGAGGCCUGGCCAUUUCACUGGGACUGCUCACCCUGGGAGCACCGGUCUCUACCUUGGGAGGAAGCAAGCUGCCACCAGAAUAAAAGCAGGAUGGAGCUGCUCCCACUCCAAGGCAAGAGCCUGCAGGGCCCAUCCUUUGGGGACUCAUCUUUUGUGUGAAGGCACAUUGUCUAGCAGAGGAAGAGGAAAGGCAUGCAGAAGGCAGCACCAUCACCCCAGCCCUGCAGUCAGGAGUCCAUCAGCUUUCCCCACAGUGAACGUGGUUAAGGUCUCCUUAACCAAAGGAAAACUCAGCACCACUACAGAUGUACAGAACAGCAAUUUAUCCACUGGGGCCCUCCGACACACUUUGCCCAUUAUGUGUCCAGAAGACUCCAAGUACUGACUUUACACGUCCACAAGCAUGGCCAAAGCCACACAUACAGAGCAACACCAAGUUCUCACGGUGUACCAAGAGAAACAAAGAUUUAAUAACAGUAUUUCUUAGACAACUGUUGGGGAUGAAGUCAAAUGUAAAGAAAAAAAUGGAAAUGUAAAAAAUGAUGGACGUUAGUGCACACGGAUACAGAGUUUCUGCUUUUGAGCACCGCAGAUGCCUGGGGAGGGAGUGAGCAGGGCACUGUCUGUAAAUAGCAGGGAGGGGUGAAAGAGCGUUAAGUGUGUAAAGUGACACGGCCGGGCUUGAGCGGGGACACGGCCUUAAGGAAAUAAUUCCUUUUUUUGUCACUGCUGCACUGAAUUUCAUAGGCGUGUGGCUAGAUGCCUAAUAUAUUUAAAGCAGGUUUUAUUCUUACUGGUGUUUUGCACACUGAAGUGUCUGCCCAGGUUUUGUUUCCAAAAGUGAGGUAUAGUGCUGGGUGUUUAAUUUGGUAUGUUACUUCUUCUGUUGCGUAAAUAACUGCAGCUCCCUCCCUGUGCCUGUGUAUUGCAGGGGCAGGCGAGCGCUGGUUAUAAAGGUGGUGAUAAUUAGGAAUAACCUAUUAAAGCUGGGAUAAAAGGUUCGAAAUCAUUGCUUAGGGUACUGCAUAGAUGUACCAGAAGUAACUACAUCCUGGAAGUGCUGUGUGUCUGAAACUGUUUCCACCUACUCAUUUUUAGCUCCUUUUUCUGACUCUGCUCCUAUUCCGACAGACCCGUCUGAGCCUGGCGUUCGCUAAACGCCUCUGCGUGGUGGGAGACGAGUCUAGGAAGAAAUACCUUCAUUCCACCGACGAGGCAGAAAGGACUCAGCUCAAGGAAUACUGCACACAGAUGAAGGUAAAGUCCUUAACAGUCUAUUUCUUCCCCAUAACAAGUACUUCAUUAGUGCAUUCCUGGCCGUGUGCUGCAGGGCACGUUGGAAGUUACACGUGAGCGACGCUUCCGCUCGCGUCGAGGCGCACGCA